rnacentral:misc_RNA from 1 species
GAUGAAGAACGUAGCGAAAUGCGAUAAGUAAUGUGAAUUGCAGAAUUCAGUGAAUCAUCGAAUCUUUGAACGCACAUUGCGCCCGUCAGUAUUCUGGCGGGCAUGCCUGUUCGAGCGUCAUUACGCCCCUCAAGUCCCCUGUGGACUUGGUGUUGGGGAUCGGCGAGGCUGGUUUUCCAGCACAGCCGUCCCUUAAAUUAAUUGGCGGUCUCGCCGUGGCCCUCCUCUGCGCAGUAGUAAAACACUCGCAACAGGAGCCCGGCGCGGUCCACUGCCGUAAAACCCCCCAACUUUUUAUAGUUGACCUCGAGUCAGGUAGGACUACCCGCUGAACUUAAGCAUAUCAAUAAGCGGAGGA